GACGAACGCUGGCGGCGUGCUUAACACGUGCAAGUCGAACGGUGAAGCUCCAGCUUGCUGGAGUGGAUCAGUGGCGAACGGGUGAGUAACACGUGAGCAACCUGCCCCUGACUCUGGAAUAAGCGCUGGAAACGGCGUCUAAUACUGGAUACGAGAAGGGUCCGCAUGGGCACUUUCUGGAAAGUUUUUCGGUUGGGGAUGGGCUCGCGGCCUAUCAGCUUGUUGGUGAGGUAAUGGCUCACCAAGGCGACGACGGGUAGCCGGCCUGAGAGGGCGACCGGCCACACUGGGACUGAGACACGGCCCAGACUCCUACGGGAGGCAGCAGUGGGGAAUAUUGCACAAUGGGCGAAAGCCUGAUGCAGCGACGCCGCGUGAGGGAUGACGGCCUUCGGGUUGUAAACCUCUUUCAGCAGGGAAGAAGCGAAAGUGACGGUACCUGCAGAAGAAGCACCGGCUAACUACGUG
rnacentral:rRNA from 1 species